rnacentral:sRNA from 1 species
GGAGUAGGGGGGACGCGGCGGCGGCGUUGACAAUGAGUUUUCUUGGAGGCUUUUUUGGUCCAAUUUGUGAGAUCGAUAUUGUUCUUAAUGAUGGGGAAACCAGGAAAAUGGCAGAAAUGAAAACUGAAGAUGGCAAAGUAGAAAAACACUAUCUCUUCUAUGACGGAGAAUCUGUUUCAGGAAAGGUAUUUUCUUAAAGUGACAAUAGUGAGAAGACUGACAGAUUUGGUAAAAGAGUAUGAUCUUAUUGUUCACCAGCUUGCCACCUAUCCUGAUGUUAACAACUCUAUUAAGAUGGAAGUGGGCAUUGAAGAUUGUCUACAUAUAGAAUUUGAAUAUAAUAAAUCAAAGUAUCAUUUAAAGGAUGUGAUUGUUGGAAAAAUUUACUUCUUAUUAGUAAGAAUAAAAAUACAACAUAUGGAGUUACAGCUGAUCAAAAAAGAGAUCACAGGAAUUGGACCCAGUACCACAACAGAAACAGAAACAAUCGCCAAAUAUGAAAUAAUGGAUGGUGCACCAGUAAAAGGUGAAUCAAUUCCAAUAAGGCUAUUUUUAGCAGGAUAUGACCCAACUCCAACAAUGAGAGAUGUGAACAAAAAAUUUUCAGUAAGGUACUUUUUGAAUUUAGUGCUUGUUGAUGAGGAAGACCGGAGGUACUUCAAACAG